rnacentral:rRNA from 1 species
UACGUAGGGUGCAAGCGUUAUCCGGAAUUAUUGGGCGUAAAGAGCUCGUAGGCGGUUUGUCGCGUCUGCUGUGAAAACUGGAGGCUCAACCUCCAGCCUGCAGUGGGUACGGGCAAACUAGAGUGCGGUAGGGGAGUUGGAAUUCCUGGUGUAGCGGUGGAAUGCGCAGAUAUCAGGAGGAACACCGAUGGCGAAGGCAGAUCUCUGGGCCGUAACUGACGCUGAGGAGCGAAAGCAUGGGGAGCGAACAGGG